GCCGAGAUAGUCUAGUCUGGCAAGGCGGUGGCCUUGAAAGCCUCUGGUGGGCAACACCUCGGGAGUUCAAAUCUCCCUCUCGGCG
rnacentral:tRNA from 1 species